rnacentral:rRNA from 1 species
GAUGAACGCUGGCGGCGUGCUUAACACAUGCAAGUCGAACGAAGCAUUUAAGACAGAUUACUUCGGUUUGAGGUCUUUUAUGACUGAGUGGCGGACGGGUGAGUAACGCGUGGGUAACCUGCCUCAUACAGGGGGAUAGCAGCUGGAAACGGCUGGUAAUACCGCAUAAGCGCACAGUACCACAUGGUACAGUGUGAAAAACUCCGGUGGUAUGAGAUGGACCCGCGUCUGAUUAGCUUGUUGGCGGGGUAACGGCCCACCAAGGCGACGAUCAGUAGCCGACCUGAGAGGGUGACCGGCCACAUUGGGACUGAGACACGGCCCAGACUCCUACGGGAAGCAGCAGUGGGGAAUAUUGCACAAUGGAGGAAACUCUGAUGCAGCGACGCCGCGUGAGUGAAGAAGUAGUUCGCUAUGUAAAGCUCUAUCAGCAGGGAAGAUAGUGACGGUACCUGACUAAGAAGCUCCGGCUAAAUACGUG